GACUUGGCGAGGCCGGCGUCGUAGUUCAUCGAGAGGUCCGCAGGGCGGUACAGCCCGAAGGAGCGCUCCGAGGUGGGGCCGGGCUUGAGGUUCUCGUCGUACAGCGCGAAGAGGUACGUCUCCACAGGCUUCCCCGGCAUCAGCGGCGUCCCCACCAUGGAGCGGAGGUGCGCCACCAGGUUGGCGGUGUAGGUCCGAGCGUUCUCCACGCCGGCGCCGGCCUCGCCGGGGUCCCCCUUGUAAGGCCAGCCCGUCUCGGCGACGACGAUCUCCACGGCGGCGAAGCCCUCCCGGUUCAUCGCCGAGCGGACGGCGUCCACCUGGGCGUCGAACAUGUUGGUGUAGGU
rnacentral:lncRNA from 1 species